AGCGAACGCUGGCGGCAGGCUUAACACAUGCAAGUCGAACGCCCCGCAAGGGGAGUGGCAGACGGGUGAGUAACACGUGGGAACGUAACCUUUGGUUCGGAAUAACUUGGGGAAACUCAAGCUAAUACCGGAUAAGCCCUUAUGGGGAAAGGUUUACUGCCGAAGGAUCGGCCCGCGUCUGAUUAGCUAGUUGGUGAGGUAAUGGCUCACCAAGGCGACGAUCAGUAGCUGGUCUGAGAGGAUGAUCAGCCACACUGGGACUGAGACACGGCCCAGACUCCUACGGGAGGCAGCAGUGGGGAAUAUUGGACAAUGGGGGCAACCCUGAUCCAGCCAUGCCGCGUGAGUGAUGAAGGCCUUAGGGUUGUAAAGCUCCUUUACCUGGGACGAUAAUGACUGUACCGGGAGAAUAAGCCCCGGCUAACUUCGUGCCAGCCGCCGCCGUAA
rnacentral:rRNA from 1 species